GUAAGUGGUAAGAAUAUUGGGUGCAGGAAGAGGGCAUAAGGUGCUGUAGCUACAGAGCUUUCAUGGAAGAGAUGGGAUUAAUGUGGCCGCCCACGGUUAGGAUUUAUACAGAGGAGUACUCCGGAUGGGAAACUUGAAGCAUACUGCUUAAGCCAUUUCAUUCUAGCCGGACCAGACGAUUGCCAUUGGGAUGUAGCGUAUGGGAUAAGAUGUAUUUCCCUUAAUCAUAAAGAUGAUGUCAAAACUCAUUUGGAAACGUCUUCAGAACUCUCAUUAGCAACAUGAGGAAAAUUUUCAUUGACUUGACUGAAGGAACAGAUGAGCACGUCCAUAUAUAUUCUUGAAAGGGAAGACAAAAGCCUGCUCGCCAAUGAUGAAGGAAGAUUAGCCCUGAGCUAUCUGCCACCAAUCCUCCUCUUUUUGCUGAGGAAGACAGGCCCUGAGCUAACAUCUGUGCCCCAUCUUCCUCUACUUUAUAUGUGGGAUGCCUGCCACAGCAUGGCUGGACAAGCAGUGCCAUGUCUGCACCCAGGGACCAGGAUCCAAACUGGUGAACCCCAGGCCACCGAAGCAGAAUGUGUGAACCAAAGUGCUUUGCCACCAGGACAGCCCCUCUUGUACCUUUAUCAUAAUGUGAAGAAAGUGAAAAAUGAUGUAAAGCAACAAAUAUUUUUCCUUCAUAAUAUAUAUUUUUGGUGACAGCUUUAUUGAGAUAUAAUUCACAUAUCACACAAUUCACCUAUUUAAAGUGUACAAUACAAUGGUUUAGAGUAUGUUAACCAUUUACAGAGUUCUGCAACCAUCACCAUAAUCAAUUUUAAAACAUUUUCAUCACCCCCAAAAGAAAGCCAUACCCUUUAGCUAUCACCUCCCAGUCAUCCUUCCUAUACCUUCCAGCCCCGGGCAACCAGUACUCUAUUUUCUGUCUCUAUAGACUUGCCUAAUCUGGACAUUUCAUAUGAACAGAAUCGUAAAAUGCGACAUUUUGUGUCUGCCUUAUUUCAAUUUGCAUAAUUGAAUCAAGCUUCAUCCAUAUUGUAGCAUAAAUCAUCAUUUCAUUCCUUUGCA
rnacentral:lncRNA from 1 species